CGCAAAUUGGGGCGCGAGGUGGGCGUUGAACGUCCAUUUGUGUCACAGUCGGUGACCCCAACUCAGUCACCUUCUCCAGGAUUUAGAAAGACGGCCUUGAGAUAAACGAAAAAGAUGACUUCUGGAGCCGUGUUUCUAUGAGGGAAUUAUACUCUCCAUGGCCUGUGUGAAUCACAGGAAACAAAACAGAGCCAAGAAAAUAGUGUCCACAGAACCAGACCUAGGAGUGACAUUAGAAGGAACAGAAAAGGCUCUAUGGCAGUGAACAUAACUGGCUCAGAUAGAUGUGUUGUGGAUCUAUUUGGAAGAAAGAUAUGCAAGGACCAGCAGAAGCCAUCUCAGUCAAGCAGAGACUGGUAGCACAUGCCUUGUAGCAACAGCCACUUGGAAAGCUGAGGCAGGAGAAAGAUUUGAUCCCACAAGUUUGAGAUCAACCUGGGAAGGACAGUGACUUAAUCUCGAAAAGAAUAACAAACAAAUAAGCAAAUAAACAACAAAACCAAACAAAA